UGUAUGUGCAAGUGUGUGUAUCUGAGUGUAUGUGUUAAUGUGUUAGUGUGUGUUUCAAUGUGUGUCAGUGUGUAUGUGCCAGAGUAUGUAAAUGCGCAGGUACGUGUGUGUCUGUGUGUGUGUUGUGGUGGAGGGUUGGGUUGAGUGCGCGGGGGAAGUGGGGCAGUAUCUUCUGAAGAUACCUCCCUGAAAUGCAUUUUUGCAUGUUG